UACGUAGGGGGCAAGCGUUGUCCGGAUUUAUUGGGCGUAAAGAGCGUGUAGGCGGCUUUACAGGUCCGUUGUGAAAACUCGAGGCUCAACCUCGAGACGCCGGUGGAAACCGUAAGGCUAGAGUCCGGAAGAGGAGAGUGGAAUUCCUGGUGUAGCGGUGAAAUGCGCAGAUAUCAGGAAGAACACCCGUGGCGAAAGCGGCUCUCUGGAACGGUACUGACGCUGAAGACGCGGAAAAGCGUGGGGAGCGAACAGG
rnacentral:rRNA from 1 species